rnacentral:rRNA from 1 species
UGUCCCGGCCAUAGUAGGGGGGACCCACCCGGUCUCAUGCCGAACCCGGAAGUGAAACCCCUUAACGCCGCCUUAGUACUGCGGUCCGAGAGGCCGCGGGAAAGGGCGGUGCCGGGAGCC